GCUUCCUUGGCUCAGUUGGUAGAGCGUCGGUCUCAUAUCAAGUAUAUGACACUGCCUUAGGCAAGUGCAAUCCGAAGAUCGUGAGUUCGAUCCUCACAGGGAGCA